rnacentral:lncRNA from 1 species
AAGGUUGGCAGCUCCACUGUCCCCAGGCUGGCCCGCUGGGGGAGCCAUCUCAGGUGUCUGCACACCUCAGGCCCCACUCCCUUCACUGUAGGCGCCAGCCCUUGCAGAGGCCUCCACCCACAGGCAGAGGUGGCGCAUCCUACCACCCCCAAGCUCCCCUCCGGCCGCGGUCCCUUUGGGAGGUGCUCCCCCCAGCCCCAGGACUGCACUGGUAUCCUGGAGGGGGCGCACACCUCUCCUAGAGCAGACGGCAGCUGCCCUCCGUGCGGUCCAGCCUCACCCCCGGCUCUGGCCACAGCACUGCCUGGUUCAGCUUGUGGCCAGCUUGUGCCCCCCAGCCCCCCAGCCAGCUCCUGCCUUCUGCUCUAAGGACCGGCUCUGAGGCAGAAGCGAGUCAGGUCUUGUACUGUGCAUCUGAACCAGCUUGGGGACAGCUGGCCCCCGCUCCUCUCAGGGGCUGACACCAGGUGGGUCUGGUCUUCCCAGGUCCUAGUCCAGCCCCGCACAUGCUGCCGAGUGUCCACCCGCUUCCCGUUUGCCCAGGACCUGUUCCAGGCCAGGACGGCAGCAGCCCUGGUUCCAUACCUGGCACCAGCCAUCACGGGUGGUCUGAAUGGCCCCUCCAGGACCUGUCCGAUUGCCCUUGUGACCUGCUUGACCCAGGGCUGACACCAGAAGCUGUCUCUGGCUGACACUGGAAAGGGCGAGUCCCUGGCUUCUCUUGCAGCUCCACGACAGGGUACAAAUGAUGCUUUUGUCUUAUUAAAAAGUCACCAUGGGCCCUGAGGGAGGCUGGCUGCUCCAAAGGAAUGGUGGACAGGCCCCAUGUGGCAUGAAGCAGCUCCAGAACCCACCGGGAGUGAUCGCAGGGUGCGAGUGCGCCUCCUCCCAGCAAGAGCUGCUGCCCCCUGGGAGCCACCCCACACUCCAGGAUGCACACCCUGCGUCCUGGCUUGUCCAGCCAAGGGAACUGGGCUCUGGCUGAGCGUAGCUCCUCCCCCUCCUGGCCUCCCAUCACCCCAGAGCCCACGGCCCUGCUGCCCUAAGGCUGCACGUCAGGCCCCACCCACGGCUCCCCUCCAGGUGUCCAAGAUCUCAGACCCUCACAGGCUUUUGCCCCCUGGCAGUGCUGAUGACCUUGGUGGGUUGUCACGAGCCAUCCAUGGGUGUGUGUGUGUGUAGACUAUUGCCCACAGUAGCCAAAUGAGGGGACAGGCCUGGCAGUGCGAGCUCCCUGUCAGGAGUGAUCGCAGGGUGCAGGUGCGCCUCCUCCUCCAGCUCUGCCUAAGAUCCCACACAGCACCUGAGAUGGGUGGGACUGGCCAAGAUGUCAAUCCAUCUGCUGGCCACAAGACAUCAUGAAGCAAGACUCCACCCUUGAAACCCUAUCCUUGCCUCUGAUGUUCCCACCAUAAAAUAAACCCACCAUGGGCUCAAGCCCUCUUUGAAGCGUGGAAGCUGACCCUUGAGGUCAAAGAGCCGUCCCGCCCCUGAUUUGAAAGUUAUGUCUGUGUUGGGUGAUUUCUCGCCACCGCCUUCUAAGCUUAAUGUUGCUGCCAGCCCUGGCUGCAGUGGAGAGUGGGUGGCCGUGCUAAGGCUCGGGAAGUAGUGAGCAUUUUAAAUGCAACUUCUCUGGAAGUAAUUCUUCAACCAACCAAGGAAUGUACUCAAAAUAAUGAAAAAACCAGCACAGACACUU